rnacentral:rRNA from 1 species
CCUACGGGUGGCAGCAGUGGGGGAUAUUGCACAAUGGGGGAAACCCUGAUGCAGCGACGCCGCGUGUGGGAAGACGGUCUUCUGGAUUGUAAACCACUGUCCCCAGGGACGAAAAUGACGGUACCUGGGGAGGAAGCUCCGGCUAACUACGUGCCAGCAGCCGCGGUAAUAUGUAGGGAGCAAGCGUUGUCCGGAAUUACUGGGUGUAAAGGGAGCGUAGGCGGGGAUGCAAGUUGGGUGUCAAAACUACCGGCUCAACCGAUAGUCGCACUCAAAACUGCAACUCUUGAGUGAAGUAGAGGCAGGCGGAAUUCCUAGUGUAGCGGUGAAAUGCGUAGAUAUUAGGAGGAACACCAGUGGCGAAGGCGGCCUGCUGGGCUUUUACUGACGCUGAGGCUCGAAAGUGUGGGGAGCAAACAGGAUUAGAUACCCGGGUAGUC